rnacentral:lncRNA from 1 species
AUAGAUGUGUAUAAAAUUGAUUUAUAAAUGAAAACACAAAUUAAAGCAUAUACUUACUUAUGGAUAAACAGUGACAUGUAACAUUCUUUAUUCUUCUUAACGAACUUGUUUUGUAUUUGCAUAUGGAUACUUUUUGCUGAAUUGCCUUGAAAUUGAACGUUUAAUAGAUCUAUGAAAUAAUACAUUUUCAAUUUCCUUUCAACACAUGUCUCAUGCAGGACCCUAAUUAAAAGUUAAUGCAAAUGUCAACAUUUUUUGUUAAAGUAUGAGAACAAUGAAUAUAAGUUGAAAUCACCGUAAAAAUCAUACUUACCAGCACCACAUUUAUAUUACGGGCAUUUACAACCAAUCAUUUCGCUUCAAUAAUUCCAAAAUAUAACUCUUAUAAAGCAUAAAGUAUGUUUUGGUUCAUGUUUUUAAUUCAAACGAAGAGAAUUCUGGAAUCUUGUCUAUCAUACUAGAUAAUCUUUCAGUGUUAUCUAGUUGAGGUGUUGUGGUCUUAAUAUUGUGAACGGAGACAGCAGAAACUAUCUUUCGUGCUUGUACCACCCAUAAAAACUCUCUUAACUACUUUCCCAGGCAUGUGCAACUGAUAUGGAUUCGGGUGGUUGAGUACACCAUUUGAUUUCAGUUUCUACAUCAUAAAGAAAACCAAAUACAAUAUAAAAGUUAAAAUCCACAAACAAUAACAAUAACAUACAAUUGGACAUGUCUCAAUCAAAUCGCAGAUACACUUCUCUCGGUCAACCUCUCUCGCUCCUUCCGCACCUCCUCCAAUAUCUUUUCUUGUUCCUCCUGCAACGUC